rnacentral:lncRNA from 12 species
AGAUACAUAGUUUGCCAACAUGUAUCAUGUAGAUACUAUUUUUCUUUAGGUUUUAAUUGGCUAAUUUACAGUUCAUUGAUCCUUCUCUACAUGAACCAUAGAGAUCUUCAGUUAAUUAACAUUGAGUCCAUUUCAUUCCAAAUCUCUGUAUCCUGAGAUUAGUGCUAAAAAUAAACUAGAUUCCCAAUAAUAAGUUCUCUUUUUAUUAAUAACUUUCUUUUCUUAUUCCCUCCCUGCCCCCAGACACUUGGUAACAAGAUCCUAAGCCAUGUUCGGAGACUCAUUCCUACUACAGUGGCCGUGGCUUGUGCCAGCGAACUGAACUCCUCAACCAUUAUAACAUCCAGAUAAAAAUCUUAAAAAAAAAAAAAAAAAGCCUUGCUCUGGUCUAAAACUGGACGGACCCCCAAUGGACUGCCAAGUGCGGGGGGGACAGCAGGGCUGCGGCUGCCCUCCACCCCCCCCUCCCCGGCCUCUUCCAGCACCAGGCAGCUACCGGAGUGUUAACAGUUAUUCCUCCCAUAUCCGUGGAGCAACCCUCAUCUGA